rnacentral:misc_RNA from 1 species
UCCGGCUUAACGCCGGCAGUCUCUCUAGAGUGCCCAACUUAAUGCUGGCAACUAAAGAUAAGGGUUGCGCUCGUUGCGGGACUUAACCCAACAUCUCACGACACGAGCUGGCGACAGCCAUGCAGCACCUUGCACUCUGUCUGGUUUUACCCAGAAGGCCCUAUCUCUAGGGUUGUCAGAGGCAUUCUAGCCCAGGUAAGGUUCUUCGCGUUGCGUCGAAUUAAACCACACGCUCCGCUGCUUGUGCGGGCCCCCGUCAAUUCCUUUGAGUUUUAGCCUUGCGGCUGUACUCCCCAGGCAGCGCACUUAAUGCGUUAGCUGCGGCACCGGAGGGGUCGAUACCCCCGACACCUAGUGCGCACCGUUUACGGCGUGGACUAC